UACGGAGGGGGUUAGCGUUGUUCGGAAUUACUGGGCGUAAAGCGCACGUAGGCGGAUUAGUAAGUUAGAGGUGAAAUCCCAGGGCUCAACCCUGGAACUGCCUUUAAUACUGCUAGUCUUGAGUUCGAGAGAGGUAAGUGGAAUUCCGAGUGUAGAGGUGAAAUUCGUAGAUAUUUGGAGGAACACCAGUGGCGAAGGCGGCUCACUGGCUCGAUACUGACGCUGAGGUACGAAAGUGUGGGGAGCAAACAGGAUUAGAUACCCUGGUAGUCCACGCCGUAAACGAUGGUCACUAGCUGUUCGGACUUCGGUUUGAGUGGCUAAGCGAAAGUGAUAAGUGACCCACCUGGGGAGUACGUUCGCAAGAAUGAAACUCAAAGGAAUUGACGGGGGCCCGCACAAGCGGUGGAGCAUGUGGUUUAAUUCGAUGAUACGCGAGGAACCUUACCAGGGCUUAAGUGUAGAUUGACAGGUUUAGAGAUAGACUUUUCUUCGGACAAUUUACAAGGUGCUGCAUGGUU
rnacentral:rRNA from 1 species